ensembl:lncRNA
UAAGGUUAGAGGGAAACAUGAGAGCUGCCUUAAUGUUUUUCUGGUUUCUGUAGUCUUCAGCAAAAGUCAGAGCAUCCACAGCACUGGUGCAAGACGGACUGGCACCCAGUCAGUCAGCACUGGACUAUGCUGACAGUAGCCUGAAAUAGCUACAGUACACAGGGCCUUGUUGGAAUCCAACAGAGCACUGCACUAGCAAGCACAGAACUAAGGUCUGAGCCCCGAAGUAAGUGGCUGUGGUUGGAGGGGCUGUUUGUUGCAUCUGGGAGAGGGGGUAGAUAUCUGUUACCCUCCAGAGAUUCCUGGAAGAAGACCAGGGCUAUGAUUACUGCAUGUGUUCAAGCUGCAUAAAGUGGCAAGCGGCAAGCAUGUCUAGACGCAUGUACUGAGUCCCAUUCAGCAGCAAAAUACCUCUGUCUGCUUCCUGGUGCUUUGUCACAUGCAUGAACUGGUUCAUAAGGAAGGAACAAAUGACCUUGUCACCAGUGAUUUUCCUGGCUCAGCAGAAUUUUCUUGACCUUAACUGAAAGGAUUCAGCCGGAAGUGUGCCUGGCUUUCAGAAGUAUCAGUGAACUUUAUCCCACUUUACCAUCUGACUUUGGCAAAUAUACUCCCUUCAUUCUUACCAUUCUGCAAUACUGUAAGAGGGCAGUUGACUGGAAAGUGUAGAUGGCACAGCUACACCAAUGGGUUGUAAAGCCGGAUCUACAUUUUUGGAUCACUGCAUACCACAUAUGCAGAUCUGAGAACCUGCAGCAAAUGGAACAGUGUCCCAGAGUUUGCUGAAGAGGCUGCUAGCUGUAGCACAAAUGUUGUGCUACAGCUUCAUGACUUCAUUUGGAAGCUUUGUGAAACUGAAUGGAUGUCUUGGAUAACACCCAGAUCACUAGGAAAAUAUCCAAGUGCAGAGCCAGGCACAAACCUUCAGGCUUACAGAGUCCCCUUGAGCAUCACCACUGGGAACAGCAGAUCAGGGUGGGAUACAGCCCUAUUAGGAGCCAGCUCCAGAGCAUGCAGAAAGGAGGUACUGGAAGCAACAGCACACCGGUCCUGUCUUGCUGAUAUCUUCUUGGAGAGUAGUGGCUGCAGGGGCUCCUUUCUGCUAAUGUCCUGUGCAAGUGAAGAAAUUAAGUAUGUGCAGUCUUGGAGAGCAGUAACAUUUUUGUCCCCUCUUGGGGAUGAAGCAUGCUUUACCUGAUGACGUGUGGCUAGUUUUCUGACUCAGCAACCCAUGGAGAAACCUUCUGCUUUAAAUUAGCCAUCUGCAUAUCUGUAUGUAUAUGUAUGCACACAUGCACACAUUUCACUCACAUACACAUGUCUGUGAGUUCUAACCUGCCAAACCUGUGUGGGAUGCCAGACAUGGGCACAAACAGGUACAGCCACUGACUGAGGGUAUGGAAAAAGGAGUGGCUAGCUUGGAGAACUUGUCUCUGCCUUGCAUUUCCCUGCUCUUCAUUUUUUCAUGCUAGCAGAGUAGAAAAGAGCCACAGUGGAUUGCGGGACAACAGUGGAAAACCUGCAUGCCAUGUGGACAUGCCUCGGGUGCUGUUUAUGUGCCCUGUGGGUUUGCAGCAAGGAAGAGAGCAAGCACAUUCCAGUCCCAAGAUGGACACUGAGGGCAGCCUUGGGAAGCAGUAUAGAUGGGCCCAACAGCAUCUCUGCUUUCAGCAUCCUCAUGCUUUGCUUGCUUUUCUUGAAAUUCAUGUAUUUGUAUAGUUUGCAGGUAACUGAUGAAUUAUGUUUCAUUAAAGAUUGGGUGAAAGAGCUUUACUGCUGGCUCCAGCUUUGAAAGAGUUUAAGCUGGAAGUUGGGCUUAGAUACCAGUCUGCUGAGCCUGUGAAGACUCCUCAUUCUAGUCAGGAACACACUCUGGUACAGAAAAUUCAGGCCAAGUACAGAAGCAUAUUUCAGACGGAAAUCCAUAUGGGUCAUGGAAGAUGCAGCUUAGCCUAGAGGCUUAGUUGACAGAAGGUUUAAUUUAACUCUGGUGUUUUUUAUUUUCACUGUGUACUGUUUUAUUCUGAAUUUACUGUUGGAAUAUUUAUACAUUAUUUCAGUUUCUCUGGAAUGUUAACUACCAAAAGAAAACAUUUUUGAUGCUUCUUUUGCCUCCUCUUUUUCUUCUUAUACUGGAACCAGCACUCCAGCAUCAAUAUGCAAAACUGUGGUAUGACGGUUUGCCUCAAUGUGAUUGC